CUUAUUGCAUCAAAUAUUUCAUCAAUCUAGCGAGCAUUAUUUAUCUCCACCUUCCUUGUCCAUGCCACACUCCAAUUAUCCAGCAUAAAAUUGUCCACAUAGAUAAAAAGUUCAUGAAUAAGAAGUAACUUCAGUUGAUCAUAUCAUUAGAAAAACAAAGGGGUCAAGGAAAUAUAGGUUGGAAAAGCUAACAGAAAUCUCGUACCAUUUUAAAGCAAGUAAAAAUAAUGAUACAAAGUUUGGAUAAAAGAUGCAACUUUAGCAAUUAUGCAGAAGCAUGAUAUACUAACCAUAUUUAAAAGCUACAAACAAUUGAAGGGGUAAGGUAGAAAACAGCUCUUCAAAAGAAAUGUAAGGAAACAUAGGUUGGAAAAGCUAACAGAAAUCUCAUACCAUUUUAAAGCAAGUAAAAAUAAUGAUACAAAGUUUGGAUAAAAGAUGCAACUUUAGCAAUCAUGCAGAAGGAGGAUAUACUAACCAUAUUUAAAAGCUACAAACAAUUGAAGGGGUAAGGUAGAAAACAGCUCUUCAAAAGAAAUGUCACUAAAAUUGACAGAUGAGGAAAACAUUCAAACAUAUGGAAAUCGUAUACAAUCNNNNN
rnacentral:lncRNA from 1 species